rnacentral:siRNA from 1 species
UCCAGCUUACAAAGAAUUGUGUG